rnacentral:tmRNA from 1 species
GGGGACGAAUUGGUAUCGACUGUUGUAGGCAGACGAAGGAAAAGCAUGUGAAGUAUCCUCUUCUAAAAAGGAAAAACGCUUUAAACGGCGAAAAUAAUAACUUUGCAAUGGCUGCUUAAUAGCGCCUGCACUAUCUGGUAAGUUCGCUUCUGGUCUGCCAGGUGGUAAAACUCACGGAAGCUGGAAUCCGCGACGCAGAUAAAUGGAUUUGAGAAAACAUCUGAUUGGAAAAGCCCUGUUGGUUCACAGGGAUGGGUUUUUCUGAAAAAGUAACUGUGGACUAAACAUGUAGAAAGUCUUUAUUUGUGCAUCAGGACGCGGGUUCAACUCCCGCCGUCUCCAA